rnacentral:rRNA from 1 species
GGGUGANUANCACGUGGGUGAUCUGCCCUGCACUCUGGGAUAAGCCUGGGAAACUGGGUCUAAUACCGGAUAUGACCAACUGUCGCAUGGUGGUUGGUGGAAAGCUUUUGCGGUGUGGGAUGGGCCCGCGGCCUAUCAGCUUGUUGGUGGGGUAAUGGCCUACCAAGGCGACGACGGGUAGCCGACCUGAGAGGGUGAUCGGCCACACUGGGACUGAGACACGGCCCAGACUCCUACGGGAGGCAGCAGUGGGGAAUAUUGCACAAUGGGCGCAAGCCUGAUGCAGCGACGCCGCGUGAGGGAUGACGGCCUUCGGGUUGUAAACCUCUUUCACCAGGGACGAAGCGUGAGUGACGGUACCUGGAGAAGAAGCACCGGCCAACUACGUGCCAGCAGCCGCGGUAAUACGUAGGGUGCGAGCGUUGUCCGGAAUUACUGGGCGUAAAGAGCUCGUAGGCGGUUUGUCGCGUCGUCUGUGAAAUUCUGCAACUCAAUUGCAGGCGUGCAGGCGAUACGGGCAGACUUGAGUACUACAG